UACGUAGGGUGCGAGCGUUAAUCGGAAUUACUGGGCGUAAAGCGUGCGCAGGCGGUCUUGCAAGACAGAUGGGAAAUCCCCGGGCUCAACCUGGGAACUGCAUUUGUGACUGCAAGGCUGGAGUACGGUAGAGGGGGAUGGAAUUCCGCGUGUAGCAGUGAAAUGCGUAGAUAUGCGGAGGAACACCGAUGGCGAAGGCAAUCCCCUGGACCUGUACUGACGCUCAUGCACGAAAGCGUGGGGAGCAAACAGG
rnacentral:rRNA from 1 species